rnacentral:rRNA from 1 species
AUUGAACGCUGGCGGCAUGCCUUACACAUGCAAGUCGAACGAGCGGCGGACGGGUGAGUAAUGUAUCGGCACGUGCCGAGUAGAGGGGGAUAACUACUGGAAACUUUAGCUAAUACCGCAUAUUAUUCGCGCGGCCGAUAUCUGAUUAGCUGGUGGGUGGGGUAAAGGCCUACCAAGGCGACGAUCAGUAGCGGGUCUGAGAGGAUGAUCAGCCACACGGGGACUGAGACACGGCCCAGACUCCUACGGGAGGCAGCAGUGGGGAAUAUUGCACAAUGGGCGCAAGCCUGAUGCAGCCAUGCCGCGUGUAUGAAGAAGGCCUUAGGGUUGUAAAGUACUUUCAGUCGGGAGGCGUUACCUACAGAAGAAGCACCGGCUAACUCCGUGCCAGCAGCCGCGGUAAUUC